CCUACGGGAGGCAGCAGUGGGGAAUAUUGCACAAUGGGGGGAACCCUGAUGCAGCAACGCCGCGUGGGUGAAGAAGUACUUCGGUAUGUAAAGCCCUGUCAGCAGGGAAGAAAAUGACGGUACCUGACCAAGAAGCCCCGGCUAACUACGUGCCAGCAGCCGCGGUAAUACGUAGGGGGCAAGCGUUAUCCGGAUGUACUGGGUGUAAAGGGAGCGUAGACGGCAAGGCAAGUCUGGUGUGAAAGCCCGUGGCUCAACCACGGGACUGCUUUGGAAACUGUGUUGCGGGAGUGCAGGAGGGGUAGGCGGAAUUCGUGGGGUAGGGGUGAAAUGCGGAGAUAUUAGGAGGAACCCCGGUGGCGAAGGCGGCUUACUGAACUGUAACUGACGUUGAGGCUGGAAGGUGGGGGGAGCAAACAGGAUUAGAUACCCGGGUAGUC
rnacentral:rRNA from 1 species